rnacentral:rRNA from 1 species
GCCAAAAACCUAGCCUAUAUAUUUUUACACAUAAAACAUUUUUACUCUUUAGUAGAGGUGAUCGAAAAAUACCUUAAGCGCUUAAGAAAUAGUACCGCAAGGGAAAAGUGAAAUAAAAAUUAAAUAAAUCUAAAGCCCCAGAUAGCAGAGACAACUACUCGUACCUUUUGCA